rnacentral:rRNA from 1 species
UAAAACCAGCUCUCCGAGUGGUAGGGACGAUUAUUGGGCCUAAAGCGUUCGUAGCCGGUCCGGUAAGUUUCUCGUUAAAUCCAGCGACCUAAUCGUUGGACUGCGGGAUAUACUGUUGGACUAGGGGGCGGGAGAAGCCGACGGUACCCCCGGGGUAGGGGUGAAAUCCUGUAAUCCCGGGAGGACCACCAGUGGCGAAGGCGGUCGGCUAGAACGCGCCCGACGGUGAUGGACGAAAGCUGGGGGAGCGAACCGGAUUAGAUACCCGGGUAGUCCCAGCUGUAAACGAUGCGGGCUAGGUGUUGAGGGGGCUACGAGCCUCCUCAGUGCCGCAGCGAAGGCAUUAAGCCCGCCGCCUGGGGAGUACGGCCGCAAGGCUG